rnacentral:rRNA from 1 species
AUGUGGCGACGGCGGCAGCCUGCGCUCGCAUCAAAGGGUCAGCAGAGGAGAUCUGUAGGUGGCCACGGCGCCCCGCGCUCACGUUUGUGGAGCAACAGAGGUGGAGCGGACGGUGGCGCCGGAGAUCCUCGCCGGCAUCCAUGGGGCAGCAGAGGAGAGCGGAAAGUGGCAAUGGCGGCCUGUGCUCGUGUCCUUGGGGCUGUAGAGGAGGAGCGGAUGGCGGCGAGUGAGUUCCGUGUUCGCGUCCGUUGGGUAGCAGAAGAGGAGAGAACUGCGGCGACGUCGAUUAGCACUCGCGUGCAUGGGGCAGCAGCUAGCAGAGGAGGAGCGGCGGUCGGGUGGCGGCCUGGCGGGGAUCUGCGCUCGCGUCCGUGCGGCAGUAAAGGAGGAGAGAAGUUGGGAGGGUAG